AGAGAUGUGUGAUGACGCAUAUCAAUAAGCGGAGGAAAAGAAACUAACAAGGAUUCCCUUAGUAACGGCGAGUGAAGCGGGAAGAGCUCAAAUUUGAAAUCUUCAAGGUUCUACCUUGACGAAUUGUAGUUUAUAGAAGUGUUUUCUGUUAGUAGGAGUGGCAAAAGUUCUUUGGAAUAGGACAUCAUAGAGGGUGAGAAUCCCGUAUUUGGUCAUUCCUUCUAGCGUUGUGAUACACUUUCAACGAGUCGGAUUGUUUGGGAAUGCAGUCCAAAAUGGGUGGUAAAUUUCAUCUAAAGCUAAAUAUUGGCGAGAGACCGAUAGCGAACAAGUACCGUGAGGGAAAGAUGAAAAGAACUUUGAAAAGAGAGUUAAACAGUACGUGAAAUUGUCAAAAGGGAAGCGUUUGACACCAGUGUUGUUUUUCCGAAAAUCAAUUACGAAUGUUUUGUUUUUGAGGAGUUAUGACUUCAUCGGCUUGCUCCUUUCUUUAUGAAACUUUCUUAAUGCACUUUUCGGUUAACAAGUCAACAUCAAUUUCUUUUGUUGUAAAAGGGUACGAGGAAGGUGGCUUUCUUUUCGGAGAAAGUGUUUAUAGCCUUGUGCCUCUGCAAUCGGAGAGAUUGAGGUCUGCAGCGUAGAUCCUUCGGGGUUAGAUACAUUUGUGCUAAGUUAUAGCUUUUCAUAGACAACUUGUUGACUAUGUUUAGUCUUGUAGCUUACUCGCUUAUGCUAUUUUACCUACGCUUAGGAUGUUGAUCUGUAGUGCGUGCGC
rnacentral:rRNA from 1 species